rnacentral:rRNA from 1 species
GUGCCAGCAGCCGCGGUAAUACGGAGGAUCCAAGCGUUAUCCGGAAUCAUUGGGUUUAAAGGGUCCGCAGGCUGUUUUUUAAGUCAGAGGUGAAAUCCUACAGCUCAACUGUAGAACUGCCUUUGAUACUGGAAAACUUGAGUUAUUGUGAAGUGGUUAGAAUGUGUGGUGUAGCGGUGAAAUGCAUAGAUAUCACACAGAAUACCGAUUGCGAAGGCAGAUCACUAACAAUAUACUGACGCUCAUGGACGAAAGCGUGGGGAGCGAACAGGAUUAGAUACCCUGGUAGUCCACGCCGUAAACGAUGGAUACUAGCUGUUCGUCUAACAUUGGUUAGAUGAGUGGCUAAGCGAAAGUGAUAAGUAUCCCACCUGGGGAGUACGGUCGCAAGACUGAAACUUAAAUGAAUUGACGGGG